CUAGAGAUAGUGGACGUUACUCGCAGAAUAAGCACCGGCUAACUCUGUGCCAGCAGCCGCGGUAAUACAGAGGGUGCGAGCGUUAAUCGGAUUUACUGGGCGUAAAGCGUGCGUAGGCGGCUUAUUAAGUCGGAUGUGAAAUCCCCGAGCUUAACUUGGGAAUUGCAUUCGAUACUGGUGAGCUAGAGUAUGGGAGAGGAUGGUAGAAUUCCAGGUGUAGCGGUGAAAUGCGUAGAGAUCUGGAGGAAUACCGAUGGCGAAGGCAGCCAUCUGGCCUAAUACUGACGCUGAGGUACGAAAGCAUGGGGAGCAAACAGGAUUAGAUACCCUGGUAGUCCAUGCCGUAAACGAUGUCUACUAGCCGUUGGGGCCUUUGAGGCUUUAGUGGCGCAGCUAACGCGAUAAGUAGACCGCCUGGGGAGUACGGUCGCAAGA
rnacentral:rRNA from 1 species